rnacentral:rRNA from 1 species
GACGAACGCUGGCGGCGUGCUUAACACAUGCAAGUCGAACGAUUAAAGCUCUCUUCGGAGAGUGUAUAGAGUGGCGCACGGGUGAGUAACACGUAAGUAAUCUACCUUUGAGUGGGGAAUAACCCGGGGAAACCCGAGCUAAUACCGCAUAAUGCAGCGGCACCGCAAGGUGACAGUUGUUAAAGGAGCAAUCCGCUUAAAGAGGAGCUUGCGGCAGAUUAGCUAGGUUGGAAGGUAAUGGCUUACCAAGGCUUCGAUCUGUAUCCGGCCUGAGAGGGCGGUCGGACGACACUGACACUGAAUAACGGGUCAGACUCCUACGGGAGGCAGCAGUCGGGAAUUUUGGGCAAUGGGCGAAAGCCUGACCCAGCAACGCCGCGUGAAGGAUGAAGUAUUUUGGUAUGUAAACUUCGAAAGAAUGGGAAGAAUCAAUGACGGUACCAUUUAUAAGGUCCGGCUAACUACGUGCCAGCCGCCGCUUAAG